CAAUAGCGUAUAUUAAAGUUGUUGCGGUUAAAAAGCUCGUAGUUGGAUUUCGGCGGACAGGGGGCGGUUCGAUAUUUGUCGCUACUGCCCCAUUUGUCCGUGUUUUUGGCGGAGGUUUCAGGGUGCUCUUCACCGAGUGUCCCGGGAUGCCGUCAGGUUUACUUUGAAAAAAUUAGAGUGCUCAAAGCAGGCUUUACACGCUUGAAUAUUCGUGCAUGGAAUAAUGGAAUAGGACGUCGUUUCUAUUUUGUUGGUUUUCGGAAAUCGACGUAAUGAUUAACAGGGACAGUCGGGGGCAUUAGUAUUCAGACGACAGAGGUGAAAUUCUUGGACCGUCUGAAGACUAACUACUGCGAAAGCAUUUGCCAAGAAUGUUUUCAUUAA
rnacentral:rRNA from 1 species